rnacentral:tRNA from 1 species
CGUAAUUUAGUUUAAGGGAAUGCGGGCUUUGGGGGCUUGAGGGGGUUUGCGA